GUCAGCUCCUCCCAUUCAGCCCCAGGAAAGAGAGAAACUGCUGAGGAGUCUGAGUAAGGGAGGAAAACUCCCCUCUUGAGAAAGGCAUCAGCCUCCAGUCAUUCUGCCAGCUGCUUCUUGACCUCGGCACAGCCAUGCCUUCCCUAAGCCUUUUGGGUCUGAACAGCCUGGACACCAGCUGGGAACCUGGUGACCACCUUCCGUGAUUUGACUGCAUGUGCAGCACCGGACGCUUUGACGCAGACAAGGAACUUUUGCACAUGAGGUCAUCUUGGGGUCAGCCAUCAAUCCCUAAUACUAGAGAAACUCACCUCUGGCUUGAGUCUACAGGUCUUUUUAUCCUCCAUACAAUGAAUUGGCACUUUCUGCUGAGCUCCCGGGCCCUUUAGGGCUGCCUUAAGCUCCUGGACUUAAUGACUCUCCUGUUUAAUGGAAGCAAAAGCCGUUUAAGUGGUCACAGCUGCCAGGAACUUUGCUAAAAGACUGAAACUUUCCGAGCAGGUUGGGUAGUAGCAGAGCUAAUCUGGGCCCACCACCUUCCCCCAUCCCUCCCCUGCCAAGUCUUAGGCUUGUUUUGACAGCUCGGAGCUGGGUCCCCGGACAAGAACAGCAAGCACCCUCCUUUCCCUUUCCAAGGCUUGCACUUCUGCCCAAGGUUUGCCGCAGGGGGAAGGAAGAAACAAUCAAGCAUUGUCUUGUUCCCGACUGGUGUGUCAGGGCCUCAUGGAAUAAAUAUUAUUUGCCUGAGAGGGGAACUGGCUGGAAGACAGCUAAGACCUCUGCCAAGAAAAGACAAAAAGAUUUUUUAAGUGUGUGCCCUUGUGUGGCUGAGGUCUCUGCACUCUCGGCAAGCCCUGGGUGAGAAGUAAACAUUUUGGGGAUUCUCCCAGGGCUAGAAGGACUUUCCAGAGCCUUCUACCCACAGUGCGGCCCCUCAGUAACCCCAAAUAUGUCACCUGUGGUGGUCAGUGGCCCUGCCUUUUAUCCCUCAGGCCUCUGGGAUGGCCUGUGGGAUGGAGCCCCUGGUAUCAUGCUAGAUUCCUCAGAGCCUGCAUUUAUUGAACUCCUAGUGGGUCCAGUUCAGCAACACUGGAAUGGGCUGUUUUUUACUCUUCCUUCAAGUCUUUUACCUCAGGAGAGCUGCACAUCUCUCCAGAUUACAGAAAUAAGGAUCAGGCACCAACCAAGAGGCAGACACUUGAGAGACUGCUCCAUAAAGGCCACAAAGCCUGGUCACCUCCAGGGAAUGGACAGAACCGAGGAGCCAGGGGGAGGCCAGGCCAGCCAGAGCAUCCAGCACGGGGUGUAGACAGCGUGAGCAGAGACACAACUGAGACCGGGAUGGAGCUUUUAGACAGGAUACAAUUGAAGCAGAAGACAACAUGCAGUACCGAGAGGCCUCUUUCUUCGACCUCACCUGUCCCCAAGGGGUGGCCUCCAAGGACCCUCAAUGUCCAGGCUGAAGGAUAAGAGGCAAAGAGGUCAAAGCUCCCUCUACUACUUUAUGAGUUCUACCUGGGUAUGGAGACAGCCCUUGUCCCUAGAGGACACCAGGAGUGAGUGCUCCUCUCAGAAAGCCCUGCCUCCUUACAUUCAGAGUGUGACCCUCAAAGAACUGCAUUCCUUCAACACAACAAACCCUGCAUCCAGGGACACAGUGUCCCCCUGGAAGAACAGAGGAAAGGGAAGAGGUGGGAAGUUUUGUGACAAGUGCUUCCUCCUGACUGUCUCAUUGGAUCCUCACAACAGCCCUGUCUGGGUCCUUGUUCCUAAUCUGCAAAUAAAGAGAUGCUAGCUUAGAGAGUUUAGGUAAAUGGCCAAGUUCGCACCUGGCUGGAAAGCAGCAGAGCGAGCUCUGGACUCUGAGGUCUUGUUCUAAGGCCAAUUGUCUUAUGGGCAGUGGGGUAUCAACCCCAGUAAGCCUUCUCCAGGGCCAGCAUGAGAGGGAUUUCCUGAAAGAACUGAGUUAAAGGAGCCCUGGAUGCAGCCACAGGCAUGGGGCGAGGGGAUCUGGCAAUUGUCCCUCUCUCUGGCAUGUUAGAGGUCAGGAGACCUGAGUUCAAGCCCGCUCUUGUACCCCUUGGCAGGUUGUCUAAUCUGAAAUCAGUACUCUCUGUGCCUCAACUUUUAGACUCUUAAUACAGUAAUGAAUAAACCAAUAAAUACAAAUACAAUCCA